GAUGAACGCUGGCGGCGUGCCUAAUACAUGCAAGUCGAGCGAACGGACGAGAAGCUUGCUUUUCUGAUGUUAGCGGCGGGCGGGUGAGUAACACGUGGAUAACCUACCUAUAAGACUGGGAUAACUUCGGGAAACCGGAGCUAAUAACGGAUAAUAUUUUGAACCGCAUGGUUCAAAAGUGAAAGACGGUCUUGCUGCCACUUAUAGAUGGAUCCGCGCUGCAUUAGCUAGUUGGUAAGGUAACGGCUUACCAAGGCAACGAUGCAUAGCCGACCUGAGAGGGUGAUCGGCCACACUGGAACUGAGACACGGUCCAGACUCCUACGGGAGGCAGCAGUAGGGAAUCUUCCGCAAUGGGCGAAAGCCUGACGGAGCAACGCCGCGUGAGUGAUGAAGGUCUUCGGAUCGUAAAACUCUGUUAUUAGGGAAGAACAUAUGUGUAAGUAACUGUGCACAUCUUGACGGUACCUAAUCAGAAAGCCACGGCUAACUACGUG
rnacentral:rRNA from 1 species